GCUGUAUUGUAGCUCUCCUGUGUGCUGGCCUUCCCUUCAGCCGUGCAUGGAACUCUGGGGACCUGACCUCUGCACAGCCAGAUCCAAAACAUGACCUUGGAAGAAGAGUCUGAUUGGUGGGACGAGGGGGUUUUCUCAAAUGACGUCACUUCCUUGUGGGCUGACCGCCCUUAUGGGAAGCGAGUUGCCAGGUGUGUUGAGGUGAGAAACAGCAGCUGUGGGAUGAGACUCCGAACAUCUCCUACCAUCUGCUGUGUGACCUUGAAUUUGCCACUGCCCCUUCCUCCUCCCCACCCUGGACCCCAUUUCCAAGACUGUGCCAUGAAGGUGGUUGUCACCGAUGGUCUCUGGGAACUUUCCCAAUCUUACCCAUUCAAGGAUCGCAGGAAGGAACAGGACGGCAGGAACUGGACCAGGGUCAUCUGUGAGCUCAGCACGCACCUGCUCCUCCUGGAGACUUCGGAUGAUCUUCCUGACCUUGAACAUAACUCUCAGAACCACACAUCCCAAAGCUCCAGCAGAGGUCACCUAGAAUGGAGGUGACCAGGCAGUAUCUAGCCUCCCUGGACCCUUUUGUGAGCUUCAGUUUACUUUAUAACUAUGGCAGCAAGGUCUCACCUAGUCAGCUGGAGACGAAGUCACUUGUCUUCUUUCUGUCCUCAGGCCUCACCCUGCCACAGCUAGGGUCUAGCAUCUUUCCACCCCUCCCCCACUUGGGGAGCUUCUCUGAGUACACAUCUUCUUUCUUUUGGAAUUUUUUUUUUUUUUUUUGACAAGCACAGUGCAGAACACGGCAGAACCGGUCUCUCUGGGGACCCGAGACUUUUCUUGGCAGCCCGGCGCAUCUCGAAUUGGCAUGUCUUUUUCCGUACAAACUCCCGCUCUUAGCUUGCAUCUCCCCCUAGCUCCCCUGACUCACACUGUUUCUCUCAGCAAAGCAUAGAUCUCACAUCUCCCCUCCGUACCCUGCCUCAAGCUGUCUGUGUUUUCUCCUAUCUCAGUUCCAACCUGCCACGGUAUCAGCGUUCCCAGCAGCCUCGUGUCCUGCACAUAAGCUGUUAAGUGGCCAUCUGUGCAUUGAUAGAAAAGACUGAACAAGACGUACGUGGUCAAGUUCAGGGAAAGCCCGGGCGUCUCCAGGGACCCACCAGGUGUGUUCGGACUUAGCAUUAGCUCUUCUUUCGAUACAGUCAUUUAACCAGCCAGGGACCUGUGCACAGCAGAAUCCCCAGAGUGUCUGCUGGGACUUGAGGACAUCCACCCUCAUGGACUGAACCAGAACCCCAGUCUUCCAUUGUGAGGCAGCCAUGUAUUGGACUAGCCUCUAAGCCUAAUAAAUCUCAUGUAUA
rnacentral:lncRNA from 1 species